rnacentral:rRNA from 3 species
GGCGGCAUGCUUUACACAUGCAAGUCGGACGGCAGCACAGAGAAGCUUGCUUCUUGGGUGGCGAGUGGCGAACGGGUGAGUAACAUAUCGGAACGUACCGAGUAAUGGGGGAUAACUAAUCGAAAGAUUAGCUAAUACCGCAUAUUCUCUGAGGAGGAAAGCAGGGGACCUUCGGGCCUUGCGUUAUUCGAGCGGCCGAUAUCUGAUUAGCUAGUUGGUGGGGUAAAGGCCUACCAAGGCGACGAUCAGUAGCGGGUCUGAGAGGAUGAUCCGCCACACUGGGACUGAGACACGGCCCAGACUCCUACGGGAGGCAGCAGUGGGGAAUUUUGGACAAUGGGCGCAAGCCUGAUCCAGCCAUGCCGCGUGUCUGAAGAAGGCCUUCGGGUUGUAAAGGACUUUUGUCAGGGAAGAAAAGGCUGUUGCUAAUACCGACAGUUGAUGACGGUACCUGAAGAAUAAGCACCGGCUAACUACGUGCCAGCAGCCGCGGU